ACUCGCACUGACAUUCAUAUAAACUAAAUUCAUUGUGGCACUUAUUCAACUAAUUUCAAUUCGAAUGCAUUCUAUAGGACAUCUUUUUUGAAUGGAGUCAUGCAGAUCUCUAAUGUGACAUGGAGGAUAGAUGGUAAUGACAGCAGCGUGGAUACCAACCAGCAGACGGUGGAGCAGAGCAAUCAUCAUUAGAUCAGUGCUGAAAAUAUAACUAUCUACAUGGUGUAAAUUAAUACAUUUUUUGGCUUCGUGACUGUUUUCUACGCAUAAACACAAAUACGGA